GACGAACGCUGGCGGCGUGCUUAACACAUGCAAGUCGAGCGGUAAGGCCCUUUCGGGGGUACGACGAGCGGCGAACGGGUGAGUAACACGUGGGUGACCUGCCCUUAGCUCUGGGAUAAGCCUGGGAAACUGGGUCUAAUACCGGAUAUGACCUCAUGACGCAUGUUGUGGGGUGGAAAGCCUUGUGCGGCUAGGGAUGGGCCCGCGGCCUAUCAGCUUGUUGGUGGGGUGAUGGCCUACCAAGGCGACGACGGGUAGCCGGCCUGAGAGGGCGACCGGCCACACUGGGACUGAGACACGGCCCAGACUCCUACGGGAGGCAGCAGUGGGGAAUCUUGCGCAAUGGGCGAAAGCCUGACGCAGCGACGCCGCGUGAGGGAUGACGGCCU
rnacentral:rRNA from 1 species